AUAAAUGUUACUAACUACGUACGGUACUUGCCGUCGACUAGUGCUUCAUACAGCUCGAAUUAUACAACGAGACGAGCUGUACGUCUGUGCACGGCGUGCUUCAAGGCUGCACUGCCUCAUAUGAUCAUAAGUUUAACGUACAAACUCGUUACCACUGUGCCAUUACGGAGACAACAAUAUCAAUAGUUAUUGCCUAAAAAGGUUGAGGGUUAAUACGAGCUUUUGAUCAGAAAUCAUCGCUGAAGUGUCUGUCUGCUACUGUGAGGCUCUCAUUCACUAAACUCUGGAGCUCGUUGCUUUGGGACGAAGUACGAAGCUGAUUUUAGUAUUACUUCAAGGGGAUGGUUUUAUCUGAUAGAGCCAAUGAACCAAACACAAGAGUACAAAAUGGCUCUUUAUGAUUUACAGGACUACAGAAGCGUUCUACAUGAGAUGAAAUGUAGAUAGAAAGACCAGUCUACGACAGAAUACAUAUCCAGGGCUGUGGGUAUUGAUACUCACCCUUCCCAUCACUUCAAACACCGAUAUAACCCCAGCUCCAAAUACUUCACGUUCUCUUAACAAUAGAACACUAAAGAAAAAAUAUAGGAUCUGCCAAGUACAUUGAGCAUCGCGACAGUCGAGGCAGUCAUUGCCGCAGAUAAAAAAGUUGGUUCUUCUAGCAAAGAACAUGAAACCCACCUAGAGAAAACAAAGGGCUCGAGGCGUCCAAUGUCUUUAGGACGGAAAACCCCAAACAACAUUAUAAGCCUUAUUGAUAGUUGAGAAGUCACCACUGGUUUUCGAGCACUUCUAAAGAAACCCAAAAAGGUUUUCACGAAGCGAAACUAAGUUCAAUUCAAUAUAGAUUCGAUUGAUUGGGGUUCUAGCUUAAAAACCCGUUCCUGAUUUCUUCGAAAUUUUGCUGCAAGCAUUAACCCUUUUGUCGAGACUACUACCACUGCUACCAGCAACUAGAUCAUCCAAAUAAGCUAUAACGGCCGGGACGAAACGUAGAGGAUAAACUUUAUUGGAAGAGGAUAUUGGAACAAAUAUCACGAGGCGAAGCUUUACACCAUCGCUCAGUUGAGGUGGCGCAUCGAAGUGCAAGGAGUUCAGCGGCUGAUGAAUUUCUGGAAAGGAGCGAAUCAUCGUCUGCUGUCGCGUUCUACCAAGCAAGGCAACAGCCUUUGAACUUUACCCCUGCGCCCCAUUACCUCAGCUUGGAUUCAUUUUGAGUCUGUUUAGGAUGUGGUUUCAACGGCUGCCCCUAGAACUUCACAUAGGUGCAGUAAAUCUAACCUCGUUGAGUUCCUUUGCUCAAACAGACGAUUAUGCCUGUAUAGGUCGCAUCGUGCAGGACCUUCAUUCUUAGUAUGCUUUCACGACCAUGUCAUCUGUUCGACUUGCGGGAUUUCCGAUCCAUCGUCCACUCCAUCCGCGGCGCGGUGUCCUGGAUGUAAGCGUCGCAUGACUGUGAACUCCAGGGGGUGUCCCUAUCCGUGUAUUCGCCGACCUUUAACUUCAAUGAGAAUGUGGAUUCCAAGAAACACUUAGCAAAAUCAGACAACAUCUGCUAACUCUUGAGCCAUCCUGUCAAGCGGAGGUGCUAAGUGAUACGCCAGUUACUCCUAUGAGUAUAAGCUCACAAUUAGUCGUCUAAUUAGUUAUAAAAAGGGCUCGGAUGAAGCCAUUCGCAGUAUAACUCGGGAGGAGCUUGGUCGAAUCACACACUGGACGGUUGGUACAGAAGAACCCAACAACUCGAGCGCCACAAGUGCCAACGUUAAGAAGGAUAUUCACGCGGACAUACUCAUCACUAAGAAGAAGCUUCUUGAAAAAAUCCAAAAGAUCACAAUCCUAUAUAGAGGGACCUCCAUUAGCGAAACUGAUUCCCCGGGCACAGCCUUCUUCUGGCCUGACUGCGAACAACUAUACAUGUGUUUCAAUGUAACCCGUAGUUUGACCCAGUCACAGUACAGGAAGAUUUCCGGCAUUUGCUUUUGUGUGUGGAUUCAACCGGAGGAGCCUGUAGAUCACGAUUACUUUGGAUUUCCUCUAGGCCGGCGUAAGACUGCUAAAAAAUAAAGUUCGCAAAAGAAUUAUUCUGCGCCUUUACGACAGAGACGGCGCUGUAUAGAGGAGUACCUUUUUUUUCACUACUGUAACUCGAGAUGGCAGCCACCGUCAGCCUUUUAAUAGUCCUAAAAUGACAUUGGCGCAGGCGUGGCGCAUGCAGGAAAGGUGUGUGUUUCCGUCACUGUUGAUUAAAGGGAAAAGCUAUAAGCGGCCACUUAGAAAUUAAUGAAGACGUUCUUCGCGUGCUACAAAACAAGCCCGUAUCGGAAUUCAGCAUAAACGACUUACUACUGUUACGACGCACUUCAGAUACGCAAACCUUAAUCUAGAACGACCUUCUAAAGUCCUAUAUUUUUUUUUCUAAUUUAAUUAGUAAAGUAGCUGACAAAUCUGUA
rnacentral:lncRNA from 1 species